rnacentral:rRNA from 1 species
GAUGAACGCUAGCUACAGGCUUAACACAUGCAAGUCGAGGGGCAGCAUCGCGAUAGCUUGCUAUUGCGGAUGGCGACCGGCGCACGGGUGAGUAACGCGUAUCCAACCUUCCCGCAACUGGGGGAUAACCUUGCGAAAGUAAGACUAAUACCCCAUGGUCUCCAUAGAAGGCAUCUGAAAUGGAGUAAAGGUUUCGGCCGGUUGCGGAUGGGGAUGCGUCCGAUUAGCUUGACGGCGGGGUAACGGCCCACCGUGGCAUCGAUCGGUAGGGGUUCUGAGAGGAAGGUCCCCCACAUUGGAACUGAGACACGGUCCAAACUCCUACGGGAGGCAGCAGUGAGGAAUAUUGGUCAAUGGGCGGAAGCCUGAACCAGCCAAGUAGCGUGAAGGACGACUGCCCUAUGGGUUGUAAACUUCUUUUAUGCGGGGAUAAAGUUCGCCACGUGUGGCGUUUUGCAGGUACCGCAUGAAUAAGGACCGGCUAAUUCCGUG